UUAUCUAUUAUUAUUGUUUAAUUACAUAGUUUUAACUAUUUACAAGUAUUUACAUUUGUUUAACGUGUGCUAAAUUAACAUAAUCUAAAAGUUAAAUAUUGGGAUUUAAGAAUUGAUAGCGAUGGAUUGGAAAAUCUAUAUUUUUACCUACCCCUGUUAUUAAUCUCAUACAACUGCAAAUAACAAUGUUAUCCCAGGGUUUACAAAUACAGUGUGAAAUAUGAUUUAACAGGAUUACAUAAUUUCCCUGGGUGAUUAUGUCUGAAAGGCCCAACGGAAGUCUUCGGUGGCAGAUCUGCUCAGGUGUCACUGGUUCUACUCGACCAGCCCAGAGCGGGAUUUGAACCAGCGAUCCCCAGAAUGGGAGUCAGACGUGCUAGCAAGAGGCUAUAAAAGCCAUGGACUCUAGCCACGGACUCUAGUGCGUCUCAUAAGGCCAGAAGUGUGAGGUUUACACACUGCACAGCUAUGACAUACCAGCUGGCUACCGUUACACUCACCCCCUAAACCUCACUCUCUUCCGGGUCACGGCACCAGUGUAACCGGUCCUACUCGACCCAUUCCAAGCGGGAUUAAAACCAGUGAUCCCCAGCAUGGGAGUCGGAUGCACUAGCAAGGAGGCUAUAUAAGCCAUGGCCUCUAUCCUCGGUCGCUAGUGCGUCUCAUAAGGCCAGGAGUGUGAGGUUUACACACUGUAAAGCUAUCAUGUACCAGCUGACUACCAUUACACAGGAACAGGAGUCAAACUGCUCAACUCUGCUGCGGUCCAGGGGAAAUGAAAGGAGACACACUUGUGCUAGAGCCAAGGAAAAUAAACAGUGUGAGAAAGUUUGAGUAAGAACCUUUCGCACACGCCCCCAGACCCCCACCCCAUCUGUCUGCGAUCUACACGAGGCCGGGAACAGGAACAAUGGGACGCCAUUAUUGGGUCACGUGCAGAGAGAGAGAGAGAGAGAGAGAGAGAGAAAAUCUAAUUCCUCUGGAAAGUAGUAUGCUAACACGGCAAGCUCCACCACCCCACCAUCACCAGUUGAGUCCCGUCCUGCACAGGGGUAGGCUCCUCGCCCCUGCCUCCUAUCUCCGGCAGUAUAUGACGGUUCAGAGUACAACUUCUUUGGACUGCCAG